rnacentral:rRNA from 1 species
CCAAUAGCGUAUAUUAAAGUUGUUGCAGUUAAAAAGCUCGUAGUUGAAUUUCGGGAUCAAAUUGUUGGUCGUGCCUCGGUACGCACUGGUAUUAUUGGUUCCUACCUUCUGAAGAACCGCGAUGUCAUUAAUUUGGUGUCGUGGGGAAUCAGGACUGUUACUUUGAAAAAAUUAGAGUGUUUAAAGCAGGCUUACGCUUGAAUACAUUAGCAUGGAAUAA